rnacentral:rRNA from 1 species
GGUUAAGCGACUAAGCGUACACGGUGGAUGCCCUGGCAGUCAGAGGCGAUGAAGGACGUGCUAAUCUGCGAUAAGCGUCGGUAAGGUGAUAUGAACCGUUAUAACCGGCGAUUUCCGAAUGGGGAAACCCAGUGUGAUUCGUCACACUAUCAUUAACUGAAUCCAUAGGUUAAUGAGGCGAACCGGGGGAACUGAAACAUCUAAGUACCCCGAGGAAAAGAAAUCAACCGAGAUUCCCCCAGUAGCGGCGAGCGAACGGGGAGCAGCCCAGAGCCUGAAUCAGUGU